CAAUAGCGUAUAUUAAAGUUGUUGCAGUUAAAAAGCUCGUAGUUGGAUUUCUGGUGUGAUGGAUUAUGUCUAGGUCGAAAGAUCUUGUUCAUGGUUCGUUUUGCCCUUCUUGUCAGGAACCCGCUGAGAUUCGCGUCUUGUCGGUGGAAUGGCAUCGUUUACUGUGAAAAAAUUAGAGUGUUCAAAGCAGGCAUCGCCGUUGAAUACAUUAGCAUGGAAUAAUAAGAUAAGACUUUGGUGGUCUAUUUUGUUGGUUUGCACGCCAAAGUAAUGAUUAAUAGGGAUAGUUGGGGGUAUUCGUAUUCUAUUGCUAGAGGUGAAAUUCUUAAAUUUAUGGAAGACGAACUACUGCGAAAGCAUUUACCAAGGAUGUUUUCAUUAA
rnacentral:rRNA from 1 species